rnacentral:rRNA from 1 species
GUUAAGCGACUAAGCGUACACGGUGGAUGCCCUGGCAGUCAGAGGCGAUGAAGGACGUGCUAAUCUGCGAUAAGCGUCGGUAAGGUGAUAUGAACCGUUAUAACCGGCGAUUUCCGAAUGGGGAAACCCAGUGUGUUUCGACACACUAUCAUUAACUGAAUCCAUAGGUUAAUGAGGCGAACCGGGGGAACUGAAACAUCUAAGUACCCCGAGGAAAAGAAAUCAACCGAGAUUCCCCCAGUAGCGGCGAGCGAACGGGGAGCAGCCCAGAGCCUGAAUCAGUGUGUGUGUUAGUGGAAGCGUCUGGAAAGGCGCGCGAUACAGGGUGACAGCCCCGUACACAAAAAUGCACAUGCUGUGAGCUCGAUGAGUAGGGCGGGACACGUGGUAUCCUGUCUGAAUAUGGGGGGACCAUCCUCCAAGGCUAAAUACUCCUGACUGACCGAUAGUGAACCAGUACCGUGAGGGAAAGGCGAAAAGAACCCCGGCGAGGGGAGUGAAAAAGAACCUGAAACCGUGUACGUACAAGCAGUGGGAGCACGCUUAGGCGUGUGACUGCGUACCUUUUGUAUAAUGGGUCAGCGACUUAUAUUCUGUAGCAAGGUUAACCGAAUAGGGGAGCCGAAGGGAAACCGAGUCUUAACUGGGCGUUAAGUUGCAGGGUAUAGACCCGAAACCCGGUGAUCUAGCCAUGGGCAGGUUGAAGGUUGGGUAACACUAACUGGAGGACCGAACCGACUAAUGUUGAAAAAUUAGCGGAUGACUUGUGGCUGGGGGUGAAAGGCCAAUCAAACCGGGAGAUAGCUGGUUCUCCCCGAAAGCUAUUUAGGUAGCGCCUCGUGAAUUCAUCUCCGGGGGUAGAGCACUGUUUCGGCAAGGGGGUCAUCCCGACUUACCAACCCGAUGCAAACUGCGAAUACCGGAGAAUGUUAUCACGGGAGACACACGGCGGGUGCUAACGUCCGUCGUGAAGAGGGAAACAACCCAGACCGCCAGCUAAGGUCCCAAAGUCAUGGUUAAGUGGGAAACGAUGUGGGAAGGCCCAGACAGCCAGGAUGUUGGCUUAGAAGCAGCCAUCAUUUAAAGAAAGCGUAAUAGCUCACUGGUCGAGUCGGCCUGCGCGGAAGAUGUAACGGGGCUAAACCAUGCACCGAAGCUGCGGCAGCGACGCUUAUGCGUUGUUGGGUAGGGGAGCGUUCUGUAAGCCUGUGAAGGUGUGCUGUGAGGCAUGCUGGAGGUAUCAGAAGUGCGAAUGCUGACAUAAGUAACGAUAAAGCGGGUGAAAAGCCCGCUCGCCGGAAGACCAAGGGUUCCUGUCCAACGUUAAUCGGGGCAGGGUGAGUCGACCCCUAAGGCGAGGCCGAAAGGCGUAGUCGAUGGGAAACAGGUUAAUAUUCCUGUACUUGGUGUUACUGCGAAGGGGGGACGGAGAAGGCUAUGUUGACCGGGCGACGGUUGUCCCGGUUUAAGCGUGUAGGCUGGUUUUCCAGGCAAAUCCGGAAAAUCAAGGCUGAGGCGUGAUGACGAGGCACUACGGUGCUGAAGCAACAAAUGCCCUGCUUCCAGGAAAAGCCUCUAAGCAUCAGGUAACAUCAAAUCGUACCCCAAACCGACACAGGUGGUCAGGUAGAGAAUACCAAGGCGCUUGAGAGAACUCGGGUGAAGGAACUAGGCAAAAUGGUGCCGUAACUUCGGGAGAAGGCACGCUGAUAUGUAGGUGAAGCGACUUGCUCGUGGAGCUGAAAUCAGUCGAAGAUACCAGCUGGCUGCAACUGUUUAUUAAAAACACAGCACUGUGCAAACACGAAAGUGGACGUAUACGGUGUGACGCCUGCCCGGUGCCGGAAGGUUAAUUGAUGGGGUCAGCGCAAGCGAAGCUCUUGAUCGAAGCCCCGGUAAACGGCGGCCGUAACUAUAACGGUCCUAAGGUAGCGAAAUUCCUUGUCGGGUAAGUUCCGACCUGCACGAAUGGCGUAAUGAUGGCCAGGCUGUCUCCACCCGAGACUCAGUGAAAUUGAACUCGCU